rnacentral:rRNA from 1 species
AUUGAACGCUGGCGGCAGGCCUAACACAUGCAAGUCGAGCGGAUGAAGGGAGCUUGCUCCUGGAUUCAGCGGCGGACGGGUGAGUAAUGCCUAGGAAUCUGCCUGGUAGUGGGGGAUAACGUCCGGAAACGGGCGCUAAUACCGCAUACGUCCUGAGGGAGAAAGUGGGGGAUCUUCGGACCUCACGCUAUCAGAUGAGCCUAGGUCGGAUUAGCUAGUUGGUCGGGUAAAGGCCUACCAAGGCGACGAUCCGUAACUGGUCUGAGAGGAUGAUCAGUCACACUGGAACUGAGACACGGUCCAGACUCCUACGGGAGGCAGCAGUGGGGAAUAUUGGACAAUGGGCGAAAGCCUGAUCCAGCCAUGCCGCGUGUGUGAAGAAGGUCUUCGGAUUGUAAAGCACUUUAAGUUGGGAGGAAGGGCAGUAAGUUAAUACCUUGCUGUUUUGACGUUACCAACAGAAUAAGCACCGGCUAACUUCGUG